rnacentral:rRNA from 1 species
CGAACGCUGGCGGCGUGCCUAAUACAUGCAAGUCGACCGCUUCUUUCCUCCCGAGUGCUUGCACUCAAUUGGAAAGAGGAGUGGCGGACGGGUGAGUAACACGUGGGUAACCUACCCAUCAGAGGGGGAUAACACUUGGAAACAGGUGCUAAUACCGCAUAACAGUUUAUGCCGCAUGGCAUAAGAGUGAAAGGCGCUUUCGGGUGUCGCUGAUGGAUGGACCCGCGGUGCAUUAGCUAGUUGGUGAGGUAACGGCUCACCAAGGCCACGAUGCAUAGCCGACCUGAGAGGGUGAUCGGCCACACUGGGACUGAGACACGGCCCAGACUCCUACGGGAGGCAGCAGUAGGGAAUCUUCGGCAAUGGACGAAAGUCUGACCGAGCAACGCCGCGUGAGUGAAGAAGGUUUUCGGAUCGUAAAACUCUGUUGUUAGAGAAGAACAAGGACGUUAGUAACUGAACGUCCCCUGACGGUAUCUAACCAGAAAGACACGGCUAACUACGUG